rnacentral:rRNA from 1 species
CCCGCUGAACUUAAGCAUAUCAAUAAGCGGAGGAAAAGAAACCAACAGGGAUUGCCUCAGUAACGGCGAGUGAAGCGGCAACAGCUCAAAUUUGAAAUCUGGCCUCGGCCCGAGUUGUAAUUUGUAGAGGAAGCUUUUGGUGCGGCACCGACCGAGUCCCCUGGAACGGGGCGCCAUAGAGGGUGAGAGCCCCGUAUGGUUGGACGCCUAUCCUGUGUAAAGCUCCUUCGACGAGUCGAGUAGUUUGGGAAUGCUGCUCAAAAUGGGAGGUAAAUUUCUUCUAAAGCUAAAUACUGGCCAGAGACCGAUAGCGCACAAGUAGAGUGAUCGAAAGAUGAAAAGCACUUUGAAAAGAGGGUUAAAUAGCACGUGAAAUUGUUGAAAGGGAAGCGCUCGUGACCAGACUUGCGCCGCGCCGAUCAUCCGGGGUUCUCCCCGGUGCACUCGGCGCGGCUCAGGCCAGCAUCGGUUUUCGCGGGGGGACAAAGGUCCCGGGAACGUAGCUCCUCCGGGAGUGUUAUAGCCCGGGGCGUAAUGCCCUCGCGGGGACCGAGGACCGCGCUUCGGCAAGGAUGCUGGCGUAAUGGUCACCGGCGACCCGUCUUGAAACACGGACCAAGGAGUCAAGGUUUUGCGCGAGUGUUUGGGUGUAAAACCCGCACGCGUAAUGAAAGUGAACGUAGGUGAGAGCUUCGGCGCAUCAUCGACCGAUCCUGAUGUAUUCGGAUGGAUUUGAGUAGGAGCGUUAAGCCUUGGACCCGAAAGAUGGUGAACUAUGCUUGGAUAGGGUGAAGCCAGAGGAAACUCUGGUGGAGGCUCGCAGCGGUUCUGACGUGCAAAUCGAUCGUCAAAUCUGAGCAUGGGGGCGAAAGACUAAUCGAACCAUCUAGUAGCUGGUUACCGCCGAAGUUUCCCUCAGGAUAGCAGUGUUGUUCUUCAGUUCUAUGAGGUAAAGCGAAUGAUUAGGGACUCGGGGGCGCUUUUUAGCCUUCAUCCAUUCUCAAACUUUAAAUAUGUAGGAAGCCCUUGUUACUUAACUGAACGUGGGCGUUCGAAUGAACCAACACUAGUGGGCCAUUUUUGGUAAGCAGAACUGGCG